UGUCAGAGAUGGCUUUGGAUUCCCAGUUCUGUGUGUUCCUGUCUAGCUCCCGAACCCAGCUGGAGAGGUGUGUCAGUCCCAACUGGUGAAGUACUGAGAGGAAGCUACACAAAAGGCAGCAAGGGACAGCCCUGAGUUUGACCAGCAGCAGGGGUCAGUGUGCCCCUCGGAGUCCAAGAUCUAUGAGGCAGGAGCGCCCAUGGCUGCUGCUGUACAGCCUGCUGCAGUGACUGUUGAAGUUGGUGAGGACCUCCACAUGCACCACAUCCAUGACCGGGAGAUGCCUGAAGCUUUGGAGUUUAAACCUGCCAAUUCAGAAGCAAGCACAAUAUUCCAUGGGAACUCUCAAACAGAUGCUUUGGAGUUUAACCCUCCUGCCAAUCCAGAGGCAACCACAAUAUUCCACAGGAACUCUCAAACAGAUGUUGUAGAAAUAAGAAGAAGCAACUAUACAAACCACGUAUCUACUGUGCGUUUCAGUCAACAAUACAGCUCAUGUUCGACAAUACUCCUUGAUGACAGCACAGCCAGCCAGCCUUAUCUUACAAUGACAAUAAUAUCAGUGACCUUGGAGAUACAUCAUGAUAUCACGCAAAGAGAUGCAGAUGGAUCUUUGAGCAUAUCUGAUGAGAAGUUAUACUCAUUUACGGUAAGUGGCGCUUUUAUUGCGGUUGUAUUUUCAUCAUACACUUGUAUCUGUUUCAUGCUGAAGUCAAAGGCAUCUUUUUAAAAAUCUUCCCCGUUUCAUGUCACAUUUAGUCAUCUUAAGUGUUGUAAAAAGAAUGUGCUGGAAUAAGAACUGAUCUGCAGCUGUGUUUAGUUAGUGAGCUAGUAUGAGUAAAUAUACUACCCAAAUAACAGAAAAUGUAUCUUUUUUUUUUUUUUUUUUUUUGAGGUGGAGUCUCUCUCUGUAGCCCAGGCUGGAGUGCAGUCAUGUGAUCUCGGCUCACCGCAGGCUCUGCCUCCCAGGUCCCUGUUCAAGCAGAAACCUGAACCAAGUGAACAAGUUCAACAUCAUCAGUAAGAAGAACUAUCAGUGCCAUAACUCUGAUGGAAUGCACGGGGAAGGAUUCCACAUCAUUUUUGUACUGUAAUGGCCAAAAGUGCAUAACUUCAGUCCAAUCAUGGAAAUACAUCAGAAAAACCCAAAUCGAGGAACAUUUGACAAAUACUGAUCAGUACUGGUUCAAAGUGUCACGGUUAGGAAAGGUAAGGAAAGACUGAGGAACUGUCACUGCAGUCCUACAAAAUGUCAAGAGACUAAGAAAUAACUAAAUGCCCCGUGAUCCUGGAUGGCAUUUGGGAACAGAAAAAGGACAUUAGUGGAAAAAGUGGUGAAACUCCAAUAAGGACUUUAGUUUAGCUAAUAUGUUCAAUUUAAAUUAAAUAAUUUAAAUAUAUUUAAACAUUAUUUAAAUGUAUUAAAUUAAUAAAAUUGUUUAUUUUGUGAAAUAAU
rnacentral:lncRNA from 10 species